rnacentral:rRNA from 1 species
UACAGAGGGGGCAAGCGUUGUUCGGAAUUACUGGGCGUAAAGGGCGCGUAGGUGGCCUUCUAAGUUGAACGUGAAAUCCCCGGGCUCAACCUGGGAACUGCAUCUGUGACUGCAUUGCUGGAGUACGGUAGAGGGGGAUGGAAUUCCGCGUGUAGCAGUGAAAUGCGUAGAUAUGCGGAGGAACACCGAUGGCGAAGGCAAUCCCCUGGACCUGUACUGACGCUCAUGCACGAAAGCGUGGGGAGCAAACAGG